rnacentral:rRNA from 1 species
UACGUAGGGCGCAAGCGUUAUCCGGAAUUAUUGGGCGUAAAGAGCUCGUAGGCGGUUUGUCGCGUCUGCCGUGAAAGUCCGGGGCUCAACUCCGGAUCUGCGGUGGGUACGGGCAGACUUGAGUGAUGUAGGGGAGACUGGAAUUCCUGGUGUAGCGGUGAAAUGCGCAGAUAUCAGGAGGAACACCGAUGGCGAAGGCAGGUCUCUGGGCAUUAACUGACGCUGAGGAGCGAAAGCAUGGGGAGCGAACAGG